rnacentral:lncRNA from 1 species
CGUGAGGAAGCUGUCACCGCCGCUAAGGCUGGCUGCCCUCUCUGGGAGUUGCACUUCCUUCCUCCGGUCCCUAAUCUGAGGACUGCUGGAUUGCAGACUUGGCAAGUCCAGUGUGUACCUACUGUUACCCCACUGGAGUCCUGAUGUGGCGGGAGGCCUGGUGGAAGGGACAGGGGGUAUUUUCCCUUUUAAUUUAUUCAAUGUUUUGUCUUAAAAACAGAGGGAGGGUAGGCAGCGAUCUUACCUGUUAUUAACUUUCCACCCCCGCUGCCAUCCCCUUAGCUAGAAGAGCCACUGGUUUUUAUUUUUGUUUUUAUCUUAAUGACCUUUCCUACUUCCCCUCCCCUACACUGUUUGAAACCCCGCUGUGGGGUUUGACUGACCCGACCUAGGGUGCUGCCCUCACGUGGACGCCGGCCCUGGGCGUGUCGCGUGUGCGCGGGGACGGCUGUGCGCGCGUCUCUGGACGAGACCAAUUUCUCCAUCGCGCAGCCAUCCCCGCGGACGACGUUUGAAAGGCGGACUGAGGGUGGAGGAGGUCGCGGGGAAAGCGGACCGAAGGGAAAGAAAAAUCAGAAAGACCAUUAGGAUCUGUCCGGGUGCCUGAACUCUUCCUCCUUCCCUAAAGGACCCUACCAAGCCGGUGGCGGCGAGGACGCAAACACCAUUGAGGGGGCUUCCGUGGGUCCGCGGUCUCGCGCUCCGCCGUGCAGAACGAACUGUUAGUGGGCGCUACUGAUCGCGCCGCGCUCGCGGCCUCGCCCCAUUCACACGGCCCCGCGUAAUGAAUUCGUCCAUUUAAAUACAUUACAGGAAUAUUGGAGAUUGCGGAGGACGUGACACUUGACCCUGCAACCCGAACCCCGCAGGGGCAGCCGCCGCCUUGCAAAGUAGCAGUCCCCGAGCAGCGCCGCGCGGCGGUGGCCGGCCAAGCCCUCCGGGAGCUCUCCGGGUCCCCUUCCUCGCCCCCACCCCCGCCUUGCUCGCAGCUUGCCUCUGUCGACCCCUUCCCGCAGCCGCGUUUCAAUCAAACUCACUGAGACGGCACCGAGCGGGCGCCGGGGACAAGAAACGCCUCGCCAGCGACAACGCGCGAACAAGCGGAGCCGCGGGCCCCGGCGCCUCCGCCCACACGCGCCCCGCGUGCUGAAACCCGCACCUGGCCCACGGGUAGCCGGAAAAGCCGGGUCCCGGCCCGCCCGCCGGGCCGCCCCUGCUCCCGCUCCCCCAGCUCCAAGCGCUGCGGCUCAGAAACCCACCCGCCCGGCCCAGCCCCCGCCGGAGCCCUGCACCUUGGGGAGCCGGAGGCUGGGGAGGGGACCAGAGAAGGGGAAGAAGGGGCAUCGCCCUUCUUCCUACCCUGGGACAGCGCCUGGACUGGAGCUGGGUGCCGAGGAAACGACGGGAAGAGCUGACAGAGAGGCGGAGGGAGAAAAGAAAGGAAAAGAGGCAGAGACGAGGAAGGGAAGAAAGGGAUCCGAAGUGACCCGCCCUCGGGCCUCCGCGCCGGUGAUGCCCCGCGCCCAGGGCGAGGCCGUGCUUCGCGGGCAUGAGAAGCCAGGAGGCAGCGGAGUGCGGGUCUGGGGCACCGGGGACAUUGCCAAACAUAAUUGGGGUGCCAAACUGGGCUUCUUAAUCUCGAAGCCAGGAUGGGCGGGUGUGGCCGGGGGUGCGCGGGGUCAGCCAGCUUGGGGUGCUUUCCUUCGGGGCUCACACCGGCAGCGCGGACCGGCCGAGGCCGCUGGGACUGCAAGUCCGCCGCCUGCUUUUGUUCUGGGUUCUGCUGUAAUUUAACAUAAAACGCCUGUUAGAAUCACUGCUGCCGAAACACGCGUUUCUCCUUGUUUUGCCACCAACUAACAGGAUUAGGCAACAAGAGCGAGAUUUCAAAUUAACCAUAAAAAUGACAAAUUGCAAUUCAUUUAGCUGCCCACUUACUACAUUAAAAAACAUAAAUAAAUGAAUCUGCGUAUUCAGAGGGUUGAACGGCCCGCAAGGAAGCGAAAGCGGUUGAACUCAGGCCUCCGGGUGGGAGUCAGGGCUGUGGCGCUGGCGAGAGCGGGCCGCCGCGGAAUUCGCACCGUCUUCCAAGGGCCCGGAAAGAGGCAGCUUGGGUCAUUCGAGGAACCGAGGAGGAGGGAGGAAGCUGCGAGGCCCGAGCAUUUUUAGCACCUGAAUUCUCCCUGCGGAGGGACUGUGUGGGGGAAGAAGGGUGGGGCGCGGAGGCAGGUCUAGAGGGGAGAGCGCUGGUUCCAGUUCGAGCUUGUCGGAAGGAAAGGCGAGAAAACUCAGCAAACGUGCUUUGCAAAAUUCUGGGGAGGGGGUGAUUCUCGUGUGGUGCCCCGUGUGUGAAGAAUGAGACGCUGGCGAAUUUUGC